UACGAAGGGGGCUAGCGUUGUCCGGAUUCAUUGGGCGUAAAGAGCGUGUAGGCGGCCAGGCAGGUCGGUUGUGAAAACUGGAGGCUCAACCUUCAGAGGUCGACCGAAACCAUCUGGCUAGAGUACGGGAGAGGAGAGUGGAAUUCCUGGUGUAGCGGUGAAAUGCGCAGAUAUCAGGAAGAACACCCGUGGCGAAAGCGGCUCUCUGGAACGGUACUGACGCUGAGACGCGAAAGCGUGGGGAGCGAACAGG
rnacentral:rRNA from 1 species